rnacentral:misc_RNA from 1 species
GAGCUUGGGCUCUUGUUUUUCAAAAUUCCUAUCAAGGCAAGAUUGUCAUGUGAAGUGUAUGUGAGUGCUGACAGCCAGACUAUUGUCCGUCAAAACUGUUAUCCUGAGUGAUAUGGAGGCCAUAUCAUUAUCCUUGAGACUCUGGCAGAACGUAUAGAAGCGGAAGGACAUAAAGCUGCGUGCUGGGGGUAAAUAUUUUGACGUUUCCAGUAGCCCUUUGAGUAACUAUACUAAUUGUUCCAUCCGUUAAUUGCUUGUCCCAUCUGCGCAAAGGAUUCAUUUACCAAGGAACAACAGUAUCUAUGUAUUUUAACCUAACUUCUUGUAUGAAAGUUAUACUCAUUUAAAAGUUUGUUGCUUC